rnacentral:lncRNA from 1 species
AAAAAAAGAGAAAUAAAAAAAGAGGGGAAGAAGAGGAUAAAAGAAGAAAAAAAGCGAGAAAACAAGAAAAAAAAGAAAAAAAAGAGAAAAAAAAGGCAAAAAUAAAAGUAAAAAGAAAAAAAAAGGAAAAAGAGAUAAAAAAAAAGAAGGAGGAAAAAGGAAAAAGAAAAACAAAAGGAAAAAAAGGAAGGAAGGAAAAAAGAAAAAAAGGGGGGUGCACGUGAAUAAAAUUGUAAGAAAAUAAUGGUGAUUAAAUGGGAGAGGUGCUCCACGUGAUUUUCUUGGAAAAAUGGUGCAACAGGCCCAUAAGCAAUUAAUAUUAAUACAUGACAAAUCACUUUGAAAUAUUUUCGAAAUUUGGUUUUAUUUGGUAAUAAUUCGAAUCAACAUUAUGACAAUCAUUGCAAGGAAUAAUUAAAAAUAAUAUAUUGAUUGUUGUAUUCAAUUUCUUCCUAAAGAGAAAAAUAUGUUUUUUAAUUUAAUUCAAUCAAGACCAUUUAUUUCCCUAUUUUGCUAAUUGACAAUUAAUUCGCCAUUAAGGCAAAAUCACAAUAAUAUUACAAAUGUGUGUAUAUAAAUAGGCACCUAGCAAACAAGAAAAGGGAAGAGGAUUGAAUUUCAAGAAGAGAGCAUAAGGGAACAUAAAAGAAAAAAGAGAAAAAAUUCAAUUUCGAAAAGAGAACAUAAGGGAACAAAGAAAAAAAGGAGAGACUUCUAGGGAAAGAAAGAUGUUUUUUUUUCAAGAAGAGCGAGAGACGAAAAAGGCCAACUACACGCGAAAGAGGAAACAUCUGAGGUACGAGGCGAAUAAUAGUGUACGGAACUCCAAGAGUUUUCACUUGCUGCUGUGAAAUCCGCCCCGCGGUAACCCCUUUUCAUCAGAGCCUUACGCCGGUUUUCUUUUCUUUAUUCUUUUAAUUUUAUUUGUUAAUAUUGAUCACUACAUGCAUUUUACUACUCUUUCAUUUACCUAUUGUUUUAUUAUCACUGCAUAUAUGCGUUUAAUUGCUCA